GAGCAACCUUGUCUAAUAGCAUUCUUUUUCUUAUCUCCACAGGAUAGCAACAGAAAUGUAGAAGGCAAUUAUGUAGUAAGUACUUUAUUAUAAUGCAUUGUGAAGGUGCAUUAAAGGAACACUCCACUGCGCAAAGUGCUUUAUUGGUGUGGAGUGGUUCUUUAAGUUCAUCCAAGGUACCAUGAAUACUUGACUACGGUUUAGAUUAACUUUUUCAUAAUGAGUAUGUAAAAAAAGAAAAAAAAGAAAAAAGCAACCCAGCCCUCACCAAAAUUUAAAAAAUGAUAGACCCUGUAGGGCAAUGAGUAUCAGAACAAGCACUAACUAAAUAUCACUAAUACACAUUCAUGGUCAAUGGCUCUGAGAUUCAGGACUGGUGUAUCACAGUCAAAAUCAGUUCCAGAAACACAGUCUAGGAGUCAGUAAUUCAGAUAUCAAACACAGGAAAAAUGAUAACAGGAAUACUCUCUCAAACAUCUAACCUCUGAUAGUACUAGUGCUUUUGAGCAUAUGAAGGAACAGAGAUAAAGUAGCAGAGAUAGCUGAGUUAACUUACCAUUCCAAAGAGCAAAAAACUGUAUCUUUAUUCAGAUUGUGCAAUAGCAUUAUUGAUAUAUUUAUAUGCAAAUUUCAGUUUAAUUUGAUUGGUUGUGAAUUCACAGCUAUUUAAUAACUUUUUUUUUUUUAUAGAAUGGCAUCAAAAGUGAAGCAGACAGUGAUACUGUAAGUAUAGUGUUUUAUUGUCAAAUGGAGGAACAUAAAAUUAAGUUACUGAAAGAAAGCAUAGCCACUACAGGGCUGUGGCACCAACCCAUUCUAAGCAGUCAAGUUCUUUUUGACUUCUUACUUGGGGUCCGCUGAGCAUUACUUCCAGCCUUUACUACUGCGACAAGAGAACCAGAACCACCCCUGGGCUAAGACCUUCAGUGCAGGGCUAUUUCCUUGAAAGAAAACAUCAUUAAUUAGGUUGGGGUUGGCUACAGCUUGGGGUCUUAAUUUGAGUGGGUGAGCAAUGGCAUAACCAGCAUCCUUGUAUAUUUAAUUAUAUCCCACACCUGCGACCCUUGGGUGGGUGUCUGUUGGUGGUAAUUAUUAUUAAUUUAAUAGCCCCCACUCACCACCUAUGUCUAGGGGCUGGUGGGGGACUUUAUGUCUCCCCGGGUUAUAGUAAAUGUUAGGACUUCUACAAGCCACUCAUUGGUGGGGAUACAGGGGAGACAAUAUGUGCCCCCCAACUGCAUUUUAUUAUAGUCUCACUGUGGAGGAGUAGGGACAACACUAUGUCUACUCACUGUAUUAAUUAAUUGAAGCUGCACUUCAAUAAACCCCUGAUUUUUUUGUAUUAAUAGCACCCACUGUUACAGUAGACAUGGCAGGUAGGGCAUAAUGGUUUAUUGCUGUCUGAGAGACAGACUUAUGUCCCCAUACCCUGGCCUAUUUCCUCAUACCCCACACUAUCGGAUCUGUGGCUACAGGUUUGCACACUGUUAGGCUACUUUGUGUUCUGUCAUAAGUGCUUCAAUUGUGCAUUGGAUGUAUGCAGUAUGUAAUACCAGUGGAAAUAGAUUCCUGGUUAUAACCAAUCAACAGCAUUUACUGCGUAAGGGAAUACUGGUGCAAUGUUUACAUUCUGCUUGAAUUUUGUAAUGUGUAUUCCAAAAUCCUACUUUAUAAGGGAUAUAUAAAUGGUGAAAUACUAUAAAUGUGUUAGGAUAUUGUUUGCCUGACUGAGUGGGGGAAAAAAAGCCCCAAAAACGGUAAUGUCUUAAUAUUUCUCAAUUUCUCUUAAUUUCUGCAGACUAGUAAUACCAAUGAAGAUGAACACCCUUACACUGUGAGUACAGUCCUACACCAACAAGUUAAAUCAGAAAGCAGAUACAGUCAGGUCCAUAAAUAUUGGGACAUCGACACAAUUCUAAUCUUUUUGGCUCUAUACACCAACACAAUGGGUUUGAAAUGAAACAAACACGAUGUGCUUUAACUGCAAACUUUCAGCUUUAAUUUGAGGGUAUUUACAUCCAAAUCAGGUGAACGGUGUAGGAAUUACAACAGUUUGUAUAUGUGCCUCUCACUUUUUAAGGGACUAAAAGUAAUGGGACAGAUUAACAGUCAUAAAUCAAACUUUCACUUUUUAAUAUAUGAUUGCAAAUCCUUUGCAGUCAAUUACAGCCUGAAGUCUGGAAUGCAUAGACAUCACCAGACGCUGGGUUUCAUCCCUGGUGAUGCUCUGCCAGGCCUCUACUGGAACUGUCUUCAGUUUCUGCUUGUUUUUGGGGCAUUUUCCCUUCAGUUUUGUCUUCUUCAAGUGAAAUGCAUGCUCAAUCGGAUUCAGGUCAGGUGAUUGACUUGGCCAUUGCAUAACAUUCCAAUUAUUUCCCUUAAAAAACUCUUUGGUUGCUUUUGCAGUAUGCUUCGGGUCAUUGUCCAUCUGCACUGUGAAGCACUGUCCAAUGAGUUCUGAAGCAUUUGGCUGAAUAUGAGCAGAUAAUAUUGCCCGAAACACUUCCGAAUUCAUCCUGCUGCUUUUGUCAGCAGUCACAUCAUCAAUAAAUACAAGAGAACCAGUUGCAUUGGCAGCCAUACAUGCCCACGCCAUGACACUACCACCGCCAUGCUUCACUGAUGAGGUGGUAUGCUUUGGAUCAUGAGCAGUUCCUUUCCUUCUCCAUACCAUCACUCUGGUACAAGUUGAUCUUGGUCUCAUCUGUCCAUAGGAUGUUGUUCCAGAACUGUGAAGGCUUUUUUAGAUGUUGUUUGUCAAACUCUAAUCUGGCCUUCCUGUUUUUGAGGCUCACCAAUGGUUUACAUCUUGUGGUGAACCCUCUGUAUUCACUCUGGUGAAGUCUUCUCUUGAUUGUUGACUUUGACACACAAACACCUACCUCCUGGAGAGUGUUCUUGAUCUGGCCAACUGUUGUGAAGGGUGUUUUCUUCACCAGGGAAAGAAUUCUUCGGUCAUCCACCACAGUUGUUUUCCGCUGUCUUCUGGGUCUUUUGGUGUUGCUGGGCUCACCGGUACGUUCUUUCUUUUGAAGGAUGUUCCAAACAAUUGAUUUGGCCACACCUAAUGUUUUUGCUAUCUCAUGUUGUUUUUUUUGGGUUUUUUUCAGCCUAAUGAUGGCUUGCUUCACUGAUCGUGACAGCUCUUUGGAUCUCAUAUUGAGAGUUGACAGCAACAGAUUCCAAAUGCAAAUAGCACACUUGAAAUUAACUCUUGACCUUUUAUCUGCUCCUUGUAAAUGGGAUAAUGAGGGAAUAACACACACCUGGCCAUGGAACAGCUGAGCAGCCAAUUGUCCCAUUACUUUUGGUCCCUUGAAAAGUGGGAGGCACAUAUACAAACUGUUGUAAUUCCUACACCGUUCACCUGAUUUGGAUGUAAAUGCCCUCAAAUUAAAGCUGAAAGUCUGCAGUUAAAGCACAUCUUGUUUGUUUCAUUUCAAACCAAUUGUGUUGGUGUAUAGAGCCAAAAAGAUUAGAAUUGUGUCGAUGUCCCAAUAUUUAUGGACCUGACUGUAUCUAUUGUCUAAAAAUGGUUAUUGAUAUCUGAGAGAAAGGAAGGUUUUAUAAAUUCUGUAUGAAUAUAACCUGUGUUCCAAUACACUGGCCUAGCCUGUAUUUUAUGGCCUCACCUGUAGUCCAGCCAUUAAUGUUUAUCAGCUCCUAAAAAGUCUCUUAACACUUCAAAUUGAUUUUUUUUUUGCCAUUAAAUAUGGAGCCAAUAUAUUGCUUUGAUUAAUAGUGUUUUUCAAAAAAUAUGAAAAUAUUGAUAUUUUACCUAGCAUGAAAACAUCAGAUUUGGCAAUUCAGUUAAAUUUAUAUGACAUAGGCCUUGAUUUAAUUUGUGAGAAUUGGAAUCAGAUAUAAUAACUGGCCUUGAAAAUAACAACAAAAUGCUAAUAGGCAGGCAAAUAGUAAAAAAAACAAAAAGCCUGUGGAGGUCAGUAUGACCCCCACAGUGGUGGAAGGGAAGUUCAAUACCUCUGCCAUGCCCCCAGACGCUAUGUCCCCUGGUCCUCUGGUUGUCAAUCCCCAUGCCAUCACAAUAAUAAAGUGUCGCUUGUGUACCUACACGGAGGAGGUGUGUGGACAUGGGUGGAACAAUAGGUUCCCCCAUUUAUUAAAAUUAUAGCCCCGUCCACACAUGGGGGGACAUUAGGUUUCACCAUUGAUUAUUAAAAUCAGAACCCACACCUGUAUAUAAUGCCCAGUUGCUAGUGAUUUAUUACUGUUUAGUGGACAUGCCCCACUUGCAUCUUGGCACGUGGGUACGGGGAGGUUUAACCUUCCUUGUUCUAAUACAAUGAAGUUUUACUGUUGUCACCAUAUCAGUAGCACUUAGAGGACUAACAAUCAAAGCUGCUUAAGCCUGCUUUGAUUGUCCUACUACAUAUCUGUAUUUCUAAUGCUACAGUCCUGAUGCCCCUUGUCAUUUAGGUCCCACCCCAUGUGGCAAAAAAGAAAAAUGAAAUAAAAUUAAUAUAAACAAAUUACUCACCUUUUCUCCAGUACCACAAGAAAUGAUAGGCCAAUCCAAUGGUCCUCAUUGAGGAGCAUUAGGAAAUCUAGGCACAUGCACCACGAUGCGCUUCCAAUUCCUCCAUAUAGAAUGAUCUAAUGCAAUGAUUCUCUAUGUCCAACCGUGGUGGCACGCACAUGAUGUUAUGAUAUGAGAGCUGGAAAGGAAGAUUCUCGAUUCUCUUACCCAGAGGGCUUGGAGGUGUGGCUUAUAGCUAUCUAUUUAGUUUAAUAGAGGGUUUUGGGGGAUAUGAGUCACUGUAAGAACUUCAAAAACACAGAGUUGUUAAAGUGCCUACAGUAUUCCUUUACUGUACAAAUAUUGGGUGCUGGGAAUAAUAAAUAUCAUGGUGCCGAUUCUCUGACCAGCCCCAUUUACAGAAUAAACAGAUAUAAUCUAAAAAUCCGAUCCUUCCCACAUUCUAUGUCAGUACCUUUACUGAAUCUAGUCCCAGGAUCUCCCCUGAAUUCAUAGUAUCCUUGCACACACAAAUAUAAUCUCUAGGUAUUUUUACUGCUUGGAUUGUUCAUUCAAGGAAAGGAACUCAUCAGUGAAGAGGGAAAUACAUAUUGAUUAUAAUUUUAGAAGAACAUUUCAUUUUAUUUUAUUUAUUGUACUUAAGGCUGUUUGGUGGUCCAGAGUAAAGCAGCUACUGAAUGGAAAUAUUACUCAGCAUAUAUAUGGCUCUGCCUGUCAGUCAUCUAGAUUCGAUUGUAAUUAUAAUAAUGCAUAUUGACUAACCUGCCAUUAUUCUUUUUUUCUAGGAUCUUAAUUACUUAUACACAAGUAGCGCUUACCAAGUCCUUCAAAGAGCAAACCAAUAAUACUUCACUUUGAAUAUCUGCUUUUGCCCCGUUGGCUGAAAAAUACUUGUGAAUUUGUCUAACAGGGAGGCCUAAAAACAUUGAACAUUUUCUAUUAAAUAUAUGUAUAUAAAAUCACAAUUGUUAUAUGACAUGCACAGUAAAUCUAUAAAUUUCCC